GACGAACGCUGGCGGCGUGCUUAACACAUGCAAGUCGAGCGGUAAGGCCCUUUCGGGGGUACACGAGCGGCGAACGGGUGAGUAACACGUGGGUGACCUGCCCUCAGCUCUGGGAUAAGCCUGGGAAACCGGGUCUAAUACUGGAUAUGACUCCAUGACGCAUGUUGUGGGGUGGAAAGCCCUGUGCGGCUGAGGAUGGGCCCGCGGCCUAUCAGCUUGGUUGGUGGGGUGANGGCCUACCAAGGCGACGACGGGUAGCCGGCCUGAGAGGGCGACCGGCCACACUGGGACUGAGACACGGCCCAGACUCCUACGGGAGGCAGC
rnacentral:rRNA from 1 species